GUUUGAUCAUGGCUCAGGACGAACGCUGGCGGCGCGCCUAACACAUGCAAGUCGAACGGAGAUUACAGGCGGAAGUUUUCGGAUGGAAGCUUGUAAACUUAGUGGCGGACGGGUGAGUAACACGUGAGCAACCUGCCUAUCAGAGGGGGAUAACGAUUGGAAACGAUCGCUAAUACCGCAUGACAUAGCGGAACCGCAUGGUUCUGUUAUCAAAGAUUUUAUCGCUGAUAGAUGGGCUCGCGUCCGAUUAGAUAGUUGGUGGGGUAACGGCCUACCAAGUCGACGAUCGGUAGCCGGACUGAGAGGUCGAACGGCCACAUUGGGACUGAGACACGGCCCAGACUCCUACGGGAGGCAGCAGUGGGGGAUAUUGCACAAUGGGGGAAACCCUGAUGCAGCGACGCCGCGUGAGGGAAGACGGUCCUCUGGAUUGUAAACCUCUGUCUUCGGGGACGAAAGUAGACGGUACCCGAGGAGGAAGCCACGGCUAACUACGUGCCAGCAGCCGCGGUAAUACGUAGGUGGCAAGCGUUGUCCGGAAUUACUGGGUGUAAAGGGAGCGUAGGCGGGCAGGCAAGUCAGGCGUGAAAUAUAUCGGCUCAACCGGUAACGGCGCUUGAAACUG
rnacentral:rRNA from 1 species